AUCUUUUUUUUCUUCUGAGCUUUCAUUUUCUCUUCAACAGAAAAAAUCGCUCAGUUCCAUAACUCUGUUUUAUUUCAGGCUCUAUUCCGACGACGGAACGACUCAUUCGUAUCACCACAUUCCCGUUCUUCCUCCUAUCAGAGGCAUCUUCCUAUGAUUUUAUCUUUGAAACCAACGAAUUAAUUGAAGUUCUUCAGGCUAAAAAUGGUUAUGGAGCAUUCUCGUUGGCCAUAUCCAGUGAAUUGUCGCAAUUCUCGUGGAGAAGCUAACAGAGGAGAGGACGGAGUCGACAACAGAGAGUCGUUCGUCGUCAUCGGCAGCAGAGAAUUUCGUGGCGGCGUUGAGCCACGAGAGUCUUCGAUUCAAGAAGAUAGCUAAGGAGGCAAGUGCAGUGGAAGACCUUGUAUCCUUUCUCGUGCUUGAACGGAACAAAUUCCUUUUUUACUCUUAACUUCUUUUCUAAUCCGUCGAGUAGUUCCACAAUCGAAACCCCCCAAGGUCAAUCGAAACACAAUUGAUUUAGUUUGACGAAUUUCCUUAAUUUUGUUGUCUGUGUGAAUCAGAAGCAACAUGAAAUGGAUUGAAGAGAGCGCUUACCCACAUUUCACCAGAGCUUCAAGGCAUAGGAAAAGCAGGGAGCAUUAUCGGUGAAGUGGUGAAAUUACUAAGCAUAUAAGUUCUGAGACGAAAGCAAACAUGCGGAUCAUAUAAGAUCUAAGACGAAAGCAAGCAUUAGAAAUAUGUAUAUACAUAGUAGUACAAGGUAAUCCAAGGU